CAGCACAAAUUCUUAUCCCUCUACAAGCCACAUGCUUUCCUUCCGCAACAAAAAUAUUAGCGGUGGAACUUGGAAGAGAGAAUACCUUUUGAGCCAUUGUUCCAUCCCAAGACAUGGUGUAUCGCAAUCACUAACACAUCCUACUAUUCAACAGCCACACUAACACAUCCUACUAUUCAACAGCCACACUACUGUCCUCUGUGCGAGGAGGCCUCCAUUUUUUAUUAAAGAAAUCCCUUUCAACUACAUUUGGAGACUUUUGCUUAUCGUCCAGUGUCUUCAGCCUUUCAUCAAUAAUUUCC
rnacentral:lncRNA from 1 species